CAAAAAAUAAGUAGAGGAUGGUGUAGAAACAAAUGGUUAUAUUUGUGAUACCUAGUCAUCUUACGUCAUCUCCUAUAUUAAUAAUUCCGUCGAGGGGUACGGUAGCGCGAAUGAAAGGAUACUCAAAUGAAAGAUCGUAAAAAAAAUAUGAGUAUUGAAUCGACGACAUAAUUUGGCAAAAUUUGGUUUGUCGCGUAUUUUGCAUUUAAAAGUGUUUAUGUGUUGAAUUCGGAAAUUGCACUAUGUUUGCGUCCCGCUUCUUGGCCAGGUUAGCUGGCAGCGUCUAGGUCUCAAAAAAACUAUUUUUAAAGAACGACUACUGUCUGUGUAUAAGCCUCAACAUCAAUUGCUUCCACAUCGAAGAGCUCCUGGGAUCGAUUUGUUUGAUGACUUUAAGGUCACUUAUGAAAACAUUGAAAAGCUGGAGGAAUCAAUUAUUGCUACUUCAGUGUGGCUGCCACCAGUUCGGCACUGACAUAAACGCGUAUAUGUCAGUUUUGACACUGUCACUGACUCAUGGUACGGGUACUGAAGGGGAGGAAGAGCACGAGGAUUGAGAACAAACGAAAAUUAAUAUUUGUCAUCAGUUUCGCAGGCGGCAGCGGAUAUUGAGUCAUAACACAGCUGUUUCAGUUGUUUGGCCGACGUCUCUUUAUUGACUGCCUGGACAUUACAGUUAAGACGCUUACAUGUUAAAAUCCCUAUAUCUAUACAUACCAUACUACAUCUCGGGGGUAAAAAAGAAAAAAGUUACCAUUUUUUUUUAUUUUAGUCUUGUUUGAUAAUGUUAUGAUAAUCACUUAUUUUUCUUCCAGUUUGGAGUUUGUUGUUCCCAUAUUUUAUUUGUUUUUUUCCCGACGAUUUGAUAUAGGUAAGCAGGUAGGUAAGUAGGUAAAUCAUAGCACGAAUAUUUUCACGAGUUCCAUUCUUGCAGCGAGAUGACAUUUAAAUUUUAAAAAACAAAACACUAGCGUUAAUAAGAAAGAAAAAAUAUACCGGCCAGUACUUAAAAAAGUUCAAAUUUUACCAUGGAGGUCAAAUAUACUAUUUAAGAAGAUUGUAAUCCCGGUUUCCGGAUAUAUAAAUAGCAGCCCUCGUACUUAUUCCUUUUGAAAUUAUGAAGUAGAGUAGCAUACCUCGAAAUUGAAUAUUAUGAUUAUUUGCCUACUAUUUGAUUUGUCAAUAAUUAUGACUAAAAAUGAUGAUGUUGAAAUUGUUUUUCUUUAGGCUAGUCGAUAUUGAACCUGCCUACUAUGUAGACACGGUCUCGAAUUUUGAUAAAGGCAUUCGUUAAUGUAUGUAACAAUUAACGGUCAAUUAGAAUUGCUAUAAUUACACAAUUAUUAUAAUACUAUUCGCUUGCUCAGGACUCAAAGUUGGAACUUAGAGCUCGAAACAAAAACUAACCUGUUUUAACUAUCCUGCAAUAGCUACCUCCGCGAGUUACGGGAGAGAGCAACGAUGCCCUAUUGUCGGUCGUAACAUGUGAUUAUUGAAUGCAUCGUGGAGAGCUUAUAAUAUUAAUAUAAUUAGUGUAUGUAACUGUAUACAUAAUUAGCGUAUAUACACUCGUGUGAUCUUUUUCUGGAACUCACUUUGUUCAUUUCAUGAGCCUACACUCGUAUUUGAAUGCCUGUUAUUAUGUAGCAGUCACAUAAACUACAAUUAAAUGUCUUUCUGGUUCAGUGUUUUAUCAAUGUGCACGUACAGUCACGCUCCGUGAUUGUUGAGCCAUAGAGAUAGUGGUUCUAGCUAAAUUGGGCAUUCAAUACCGUAAGUAUAAGACUGCAACAAUUUUAACAAAUUUAAAAAUAAAUUACGCGAGUAUGUAAUUAAUAACGUCUAUGUCCAGCCCUGGGCGUUGCAGCUCGGAAACAAGGAAUUAUUAUCGAUAAACUGGUUACCAUUGUAUUGAUGGCCACAUGUAUACCAAAUUGAACUUAAAGUGUAGGUAAUUAGGAUCGUUCUGUUUUUAAUAUGUAUUUGUGUUACUUAUUCUCUAAAAUGAACUUGUACUGUAUUUUAUGUGCAAGUCUCUGGCCUUUAAUAGUGCUACCUGCAGUGUGCUACUAUUAAUUAUUGUGACAAAAACGUCUUAGUCUAAUUAGUCAUUGUUUUUGUUUGUUUUGUAUAACUUGCGAUGCUCACUGAUUUUGAUUUAAUAUAUAUUCUCAUUAAGUGAAAAAUAAAAUUUCUUUUGAGAAAUAAAGUUCUUUAAACAUAAGUAUUGAACAACCAGUUUAGCUAGGACCCUAUAGAUUACUAGGUUUUUAACCGAUUUUCGGUUUCGAGUUCCGAGUUUAACCGAUACUCGGCUAUCGGUUAUUUUGCAUUCCCUAGUUGCGACCAAUCGCAAGCGUGAUGCGAACUCAUCAACCAAUCGCGUUGAAGCAUUCCAACGAGACACACCAAACGAAAAUGAUGGGUCGGAAUUGGGCUUAGCACGCACUGCGGUUUUUUUCUUGCGGUUGCGGUCUGGCCGAAAACGCCGAACCGCGGAGGAACUCGCACUGCGGUUGCGUUUCCGCGGUUUUCACGUUCAGUAUGACAAUGGAUUUCCUCAGAGCAGUAUGUGUUGUGGCCUUAGUUUUAAGAAAUAAAAAAAAUAGAAAACGUCUUCGCCAAUAUAAGUACUGGGUGCAUCCUCUAACAGAUCAAAGAUAUUUGAAGGCAUACCGGCAACGCUUCACUUUCGACCGGCAACGAACUUUCGGACUCCGACGACAUAAUGCAGCGCACAACACACACCUCACUGCUCCGCUCUCUGAGCCGAACUGACGAAAAAACCGCUUUUUGGGAACCGCAGUGGGGGCGCUGCCGUACAUGAAGUAUGGGAUACAUAAAAACGCGCGGUUGCAAACCGCGAAUCAAAAUGUAGCAAGUUGCGUUUUUAAAAUCAGUCACUGAAAUAAAUCGCAAGUGCGUGCGCUUAUAAAGAAUGCCGUACGUUACAUUUUUUGCGGUAGCGGAACCGCUUUUUAAAAACCGCAGUGCGUGCUAAGCCUUAUACGAACGUGCCUAUCUUAACUUUUGAAAUCUUUGGGCGAUACAGCGUACCCGGUUUUUACGAGUAAAUAUUUGGUUGUAUAAUACAAAACUAUAUUUAUCCUUGCAUAAACAUUUAAUCAGUAUUCGUACAUUUAAUAUAUUCAUUAACGAUAUACAACUACAUGCUGAUAUAUAAGUCUACAUAUAUGUAUAAUAUUGGAACAUUGCUACAUUAAUUACUUCAUAAUAAAAAUCCAAAAAUAUUGUAUUACCUACGAGUGUUCUUUUGACUCUAUUUCAAAAUAAAUUCACAUGUACGGUACGCCAGACCGAUUUACAAAUAUAAAAUAUUAUGUAUACCCAAAAUUAAUGAUUGUAUUCAUAACAACAGCGAAAAAUUCUAAUAUGUACAUGGAAUUCCCAUAAGUUAUAUUAAAUUGUAUUAUCAUGUAGCUACCAACAUGCAGCCAGCGGCCUGAAGACUGAUAGUUUCCUUUCCAUACAACACCGCGUGCAUUAGGUACCUGGUUAAUUUAUUUUUGGGCUAUAAAAAUGAUAGCUAGCUUGGUGCGUGUGGCCACUGUGACCUUUUUAAAGGUGGCCUUUUUAAGGCGUACGUGGGACCCUAAAAUUUUUCGAGGGACUCAGAUGCUUUAGUUUGACCCUAAUUUAACCACCGCCCUGUAAUACUCGUAUUCCGUCUUGGAAGAUAAAAAUAGCAGAAAUGUCAGUUCACACGCAAAUCAAAAAUGCAAGAAUAAUAAAUAACUUUCGUGUAAAAUAAUGAUGAGACGAUUUAUCAGUUUUGACAGUCUUCAUUGCCUCUGCUACAAACUUAAAUGUUCGGAUCUAAGACUAAAUAUGCUUCGGUACAACAUGUAGGGUUAAAUAUUUGUUUCUGUGCUAUUAUUUAUGUAAGUAUUACAUACGUAGAUUAUAGGUAGUUAUGUAUUUGGCACAAUAUAAAUUCUAAUUAUAGUAUAAUUAAAGUAUACUUAUAUUAAUUAUAUGCUCGUUUUCAGCAAUUAAAA